GAACAGCGUCGUUUCUGGAUGGCUUCAGACAGGCCGGACUGACUGUUUGGAAGAGAAAAACCUGCUUAUUCUUUCAAAGGUACAUGAAUGUUGUCCACACCUUCCCGUCUAAAGGUUAGAAUCUUGCCUUAGACAAAGGAUGCUCUUGGAGUCCCACCACACCUAAAACCACGCUUUGAAGGAUCUGCCAAGCUCACUUUUAAUCAUGAGAAAGAAAUUACCCACAUGGAGACAGCAGAAAAUGAGAAAGGAGAGAUCGUGCUGCGAAUAAUUCCAGCGAGUGCCAAGGGGCUAGUUGAGGAAUGGCUUCAUGAGAUGUUAGUCUAUCUAGAACAACACAUUUGGAUCUAAGCUGGACCUUUGAGAAAGAAAAGACUUCGAGGAAAGACACCUUUACAUAUGGUUUAAUUACCUUUUACCUCAAUUGUUUAAUACAAACUAUCCAACUAUAUCCAUCUUUUCUGCUUCUUGUAUAUUUCUUCUUUUGCUUGAACUGUUUCAGUAUUGACUAUUGAAUUACAUAGUCAUUCUGGAUUUUUAAAAAGAGAAUUCUAAUAAAACUUAUAUAUGUUGCU
rnacentral:lncRNA from 1 species